CUUGACAUAGUCGAUGCUUCUGGAAAUAUUUUGUUGAGUAUGGAGGUCAGCCAAGAUACCAGUUACAAGUAUCUUUGAGGUUUGUAGAGGGGUGAGUGAACUCAUGAGCUGUGCUAAAUCAUGCAGGAAGUCUCUAGGUGAACUCACUUGGACCACAUGGAAUUGCAAAUAUGUGUUAACCUGGGCCAUGUUACGCAGUUUUACAUACCUUGAUGUCAGAUAAAGCAAAUGACAGGAGAAGAAUCCCAGCUGCAAGCAAGUCACUUAUUUUACAAAUGUGAGCAUUCCAUGACAUUGCAUGAAGGAGGAUGCAGGACUGCAGACCUGCAAACAGACUC